GUGGGGAAUUUUGCGCAAUGGGCGAAAGCCUGACGCAGCAACGCCGCGUGGAGGAUGAAGGCCCUUGGGUUGUAAACUCCUGUCGAGCGGGAAGAAUCGUUGGGGCGCUAAUAUCGCCUCGAUCUGACUGUACCGCCAGAGGAAGCCCCGGCUAACUCCGUGCCAGCAGCCGCGGUAAUACGGAGGGGGCAAGCGUUAUUCGGAAUUAUUGGGCGUAAAGGGCGCGUAGGCGGCCCGAUAAGUCGAAGGUGAAAUCCCCGAGCUCAACUUGGGAAUUGCCUUCGAUACUGUCGGGCUCGAGUCCGGGAGGGGAGAGUGGAAUUCCCAGUGUAGCGGUGAAAUGCGUAGAUAUUGGGAGGAACACCGGUGGCGAAGGCGGCUCUCUGGACCGGAACUGACGCUGAGGCGCGAAAGCGUGGGGAGCAAACAGGAUUAGAAACCCCGGUAGUCC
rnacentral:rRNA from 1 species